AAACUGGGUCUAAUACCGGAUAGGAGCCAAUUUUUAGUGUGCAUGGUUGGAAACGUUCCGUCCGUGUGUAUUGAUGAGCUCUGCUGGCUAUCAGCUUGUUGGUGGGGUAAUGGCCUACCAAGGCGGCGACGGGUACCGGCCUGAGACGGGUGGACGGCCACAUUGGGACUGAGAUACGGCCCAGACUCCUACGGGAGGCAGCAGUGGGGAAUAUUGCACAAUGGGCGCAAGCCUGAUGCAGCGACGCCGCGUGGGGGAUGACUGGCCUUCGGGUUGUAAACUCCGUUCGCUAGGGACGAAGCUUUUUGUGACGGUACCUAGAUAAGAAGCACCGGCUAACUACGUGCCAGCAGCCGCGGUAAUACGUAGGGUUGCGAGCGUUGUCCGGAAUUACUGGGCGUAAAGGGCUCGUAGGUGGUUUGUCGCGUCGUCUGUGAAAUUCCGGGGCUUAACUCCGGGCGUGCAGGCGAUACGGGCAUAACUUGAGUACUGUAGGGGUAACUGGAAUUCCUGGUGUAGCGGUGAAACAUGCGCAGAUAUCAGGAGGAACACCGACUGGCGAAGGCAGGUUCACUCGGGCAGUUACUGACGCUGAGGAGCGAAACAGCAUGGGUAGCGAACAGGACUUAGAUA
rnacentral:rRNA from 1 species